ensembl:lncRNA
AUGACAAUGAAAUUAAAGCUCCUAUAAAUUACCUGUUUUAAUUACUGUACUCGGUUUGUUUGAUUAAUCCGCCCCAUUACGGCGUGUCUCUCUGUUUCUUCUAGUCAGGAAAGGUCGGUUGCUAUGGCCACAUUUAUAUGUGUUCAUAAGUGGCCCUGAGUGACUGCUCACCAUCUCGGCUCCAAACCACGAGCAAUAAUCAGCUCAUUAAAGAGCCUCUCCCCCUCCCCUCGUGCCCCCACGCUCAUCUAAAUAACAAAUAACAAGCUCACUCUCCAUUGCGCCUACUUCUCCUCUCCAGCCCCCCCCCCCCCCCCCCCCCCCCCCCCCCCCCCCCCCCCCAGGCGAAACAGCACACAGAAGCUAUUUUAUGGCGCCAUUUAGCCAGCAAGCUUUCAGCCAACCAGGCCAACCAUCUCUUGCUCUCUCUCUCUCUCUGCUCUCCUUCCCAAAAAAUCGAAGCAUAAUCAAGGUGUAUGUUUAGAAAAUUUAUUGUUAUAAUUUCCACCCAUAAUCUCCUCCAUUUUCCUGCAGCCAGAAUGACAUAGAUCAUCAUCUGGGAAAAAAAAGGGGAAAAUGGAUAGCAGUUUAAAAUUUAUCGGUCUUUGAUUCUCAAUUAUAGGUGUUUAUGACUUCAUCCGUCUUCAGCCACCUCAACCUUUUCCAUUAUGGUGGAAUAUUAUUUGUACGGAAUCCAUUAAAUUCACAAGGCAGGACUCUAAUGGCAGCGCUGCAAUGCUUUGCAGAGGGAAAAGUUUUUUGAAAGACACUGAUGAGAAGCCACUGCUGCCUCAACCCGAUUACAGCGCUGCAAUGACACACGGUCAGAACGCUUGGCCCAAGAACGCUCACACCUGGCUUUUCUACGGAAGGCAUCACCUGUGUGUGUGUGUGAACCUGGACAGGUGCUGCAAAGCCAUUCCACAGAUUCAGCCAUGUCAGAACGAAUGAAUGGGGUCUUUUAGCUCUUGGUUGGCACAAGGAAGACACAGAUCAUUGCAGCAAUGUAGGACACCGAGGGUCAGGGAAACCUGUUGAACAUCUCUGUACCUGUAAGCAACAUUUACGGUUCACGAGGUGUUACAUCAGAUACCACAUUCUUGAUUCUCCGCACAUAUCUUCACAACCGUUCAUGUAAUUAAAUUGCCUUUUCUAUUCUUUAUCAGUCUUUUGGUAUUUUCACCAAAAAAAAAAACUGAAGAAUUGUUUUUGUCCAUACAGUGAGUCAGUAGGGUUCAAAACAUCUUUUACUGUUAAAAACUACUGUAAAAAAUAAAAAUAAAAAAAUCUGUGGAUAGUAUCCUAUG